AAUCUCGACAGCGCAUUUCGGGAGCCACGGCUCCGGGCGCUUUGCUGGGGGCUAAAGGGGUUUAUCCCUUUCCUUGAAUCCCAGCAGGCUAGAACUACCCCCUCCCAGUCUUCAGGCUUGCCACGCUCUCCACCCGAUCCUUCCAUUGAAAGGCAGAGAAGGAAGGAUGUGCUUGGGAACUUUAAGACCCACGAACGACAGCGCACUGAUGGAGCAGCCCAGUGUCUGGGGCAAAGUCCUCGAGGUUCAUUCAUUCAGGAAGCCUCUGACCAGCCUUUACCAUGCGCUGAGUGAGAAGCUGAGGAUAAGGAAAGAGCAAGACCCCCAAGAAACCCUGAUGUCUGGCUGAAAGCCGAAGCAUGACGCAACUUUGCUAUAUUUCUCUCCAACAAGGAUUUGUAUAUUUUCGCUUUCUCCUCAAGUAACACCUGGACCUGCUCCUUUCCCUUCAAACGCUGAGGGCUCAGUCUCCAAGUUCCUUUAUGAAACAGGGUGUACCAUCAGAGACGCAGGUAUUUAUUGAAACCUGCUUUGUGCUGGGCAAUGUGCCAGAUGUUGGGGAUAAAAUGGUCACAACCUAAAUAAGACGAGUCUGAC
rnacentral:lncRNA from 10 species